rnacentral:rRNA from 1 species
GAUGAACGCUGGCGGCGUGCCUAAUACAUGCAAGUCGAGCGAACGGACGAGAAGCUUGCUUCUCUGAUGUUAGCGGCGGGCGGGUGAGUAACACGUGGAUAACCUACCUAUAAGACUGGGAUAACUUCGGGAAACCGGAGCUAAUACCGGAUAAUAUUUUGAACCGCAUGGUUCAAAAGUGAAAGACGGUCUUGCUGUCACUUAUAGAUGGAUCCGCGCUGCAUUAGCUAGUUGGUAAGGUAACGGCUUACCAAGGCAACGAUGCAUAGCCGACCUGAGAGGGUGAUCGGCGACCCUGGAAGUGAGACAGGGUCCAGACUCCUACGGGAGGCAGCAGUAGGGAAUCGUCCGCAAUGGGCGAAAGCAUGACGGAGCAACGCCGCGUGAGUGAUGAAGGUCUUCGGAUCGUAAAACUCUGUUAUUAGGGAAGAACAUAUGUGUAAGUAACUGUGCACAUCUUGACGGUACCUAAUCAGAAAGCCACGGCUAACUACGUG